rnacentral:pre_miRNA from 1 species
UUAUUACUCCCUCCGUCCGGAAUUACUUGUCUCAGAAAUGGAUGUAUCUAAAACUAAAAUACAUCUAGAUACAUCCAUUUCCACGACAAGUAAUUCCGAACGGAGGGAGUACAUG